AUCCUUCUAUGCAUCCAUCAUUCAUCCAUUUGUUCACCAUCAGCAUCCAUCCAUUUGACCUCUAUCCAUCCACCUGUCUAUUCCUUUAUCUGUCUUUCCAUCCAUCCAUCCAUCUUCACUGAGCCCCUUCUCUGUGCACACACUGUGCUCAGCUGUGGGGAGAGGUGGAUGAAGAUGGGUCUGUGCCUGCUCUCAUGGGUGAUGUGCUUGUUCAGGUCAGUGUAAGCAUGUCUGUGGGGUGAAGGGCAGGGUGCAAGGUUGUGGAGUUUGAGGCAGGAGGCUGAAGAGACCCACUGGGGUCAGGGUAUAGCCUGGUGGGGGACAUGAAUGUACACAAGUAGGUCUGGUAACUUUAGAUGGUCCGAGUGUCAUGGAAGGAGGAAACAGGAUCCAGCCAUCCAGGGAGAGAUGGGGGGGGGUUCAUGGGAGCACUGGAGGUGGCAUAGAGCAGGACCCCCAAGAGAUAUGGAGUGGAUUGGUGGACAGGUGGGCUCAGGGGCAAACUGCAGCCAGACAAUUUGUGGAGCCCAAGGCAAGAUGACCUUCCCCAGGGCUCUGAGGCUUCUGUCCAAAUGGGAAAGACCUGGGUUCAAGUCUCAGCGCUGCCAUUUCCCGACUGUGACCUUGGGCAGGUCACCUCCCCAUUUGGACGCCAGUUUCAUGACAUCUAGAAUCCACCUGAUGGUGACAAUGUACCUAAAACGGCAUAAAGCAGCCCAGCCCACCGAGUACGUGCCAAAUACAUGCCCACUCUCACUGAGCAUGUUCUCUUCCUUCAUGACUUCCAGGGCCCCUGAAAACCCUUUCUACAGUUUCUCCACCUGCAAAAUGGGACAGUGCCAGUGCCUGGCACCUAUUUGGAGGUUCCAGAGGGCACCGCCUUUCAGAGGUCUUGUUCCCUGUGCAUCCCCGGUUCAUCGUGCAGAGCCCAGCACACAGUAGGGGCACAGUGCCUAUCGACUUCAUUCUUGACGCCCCUUGGGAGCCAACAAGGGGUCUCCAGCGCCACCUGCCGGGAAUCUGGGAAAUGGCCAUACAGUCCUACCAAGGCUCGCCCGCGGCCUGGACAUUCCUCAAUAAACGCCACCAAUGCCAGCAACAGCAACAGCUCCUCUUUAUUAAAGAGUUACUCUGCGUCAGACAACGUACCAGGUACUUGAAAGAUAGGAUGUCCUAAUCUCCAGACCCCUUGAAAGGCGGCUGACAUUAUCCUCAUUUAUUUAUGCAGACCGAUGAGGAAACAGACUCGAAAGGAAGAACCGCUCAGCCCGGGCCGCAUGACCCGUGAGUGGCGAGUCUGGAUUCGAACUCAGGUCUCUCUGCUCCCAAAGUGCAGAGCCCCAAAGGGCUCAGCUGUGCUCUGGAGAAAGGCAGAGAGGGAACAGGAGAGUGGGUAUGGAGGGCGGGAGGCUGGGGCUGAGGGCACAGCAGCUCCCAGGAAGGCCCCCCAGCGGUCACUCCCUUGCAAGGACUAUGCGGUCCCAAGGCCUUGCUCUGAGCCCUCCUCAGGACCCCUUCCAGCCUCCCUGGGCAUGAGCUCCCUCAUCCAAUGUCACAGUUGGGGAAACUGAGGCACAGAGCCUAGAGGCCCUGGAGAGGUCACUUCCCCUCUUGGAUACCAGUUUCAUUACCUCUGGAAUCUUCUUGAUGACGAUAAUGCACCUAAACAUCUCAUCGAGCAGCCCAGCACAGCCCAGCUAGGAUGUGCCAAAUAAAUGCUCUCU